rnacentral:rRNA from 1 species
ACUCCUACGGGAGGCAGCAGUGGGGAAUUUUGGACAAUGGGGGCAACCCUGAUCCAGCAAUGCCGCGUGAGUGAAGAAGGCCUUCGGUUGUAAAGCUCUUUUGUCAGGGAAGAAACGGUAGUAGCGAAUAACUAUUACUAAUGACGGUACCUGAAGAAUAAGCACCGGCUAACUACGUGCCAGCAGCCGCGGUAAUACGUAGGGGUGCAAGCGUUAAUCGGAAUUACUGGGGCGUAAAGCGUGCGCAGGCGGUUGUGUAAGUCAGAUGUGAAAUCCCCGGGGCUCAACCUGGGAAUUGCAUUUGAGACUGCACGGCUAGAGUGUGUCAGAGGGGGGUAGAAUUCCACGUGUAGCAGUGAAAUGCGUAGAUAUGUGGAGGAAUACCGAUGGCGAAGGCAGCCCCCUGGGAUAACACUGACGCUCAUGCACGAAAGCGUGGGGAGCAAACAGGAUUAGAUACCCUGGUAGCGACUGA